GAGAGAGCAGCGGUAUAUGAUACGAAAUAACGAGUUGGAAAACAUUUCACCUGUAUGUAUUUUGUUUACUAUGACACUAAAGCACUGGGCGAACUAGCAAAUAUUGUUGCAGAAACAUUGUUUCCCGCUAUGUUUCCAGAAUGUGUUUUGGUAUAUUCCUAGUUAUGUUUCCAUAACCUGGAAAAACACGAAACAAACUAAAAUUACAACAUAAACAAAAUAUGUUUCUGAAUUUGUUGUGAAGUACUUUAGCUUAUCCCGGACAGAAAAAUUUGUUUUUGUAAUAGCGUUUCCUAAGAUGGGAAAGCAAGGAAAGUUUGCAGGAAUUUUAUUCUUCAGGGUUGAAUAAUUAUUUCGUUAGACGAAUGGAAUAGUUAACAUGUUAUAUGUGACAAGUUUAUUCUUAAUGUUUAUUUAUUUACCAAAGAUGAAAGAAAAGAAGCAAGAUAACCAUGCACUGCAGGAACUGGAGGCUUUACAUGCGACCAGUGAUAUUGAUGUUAGCGAGAAUAAUAAUGUAAGUUGCACGAUUUGGUUGCCAACUUUAUUUGGAUAUAUAGUAUAUAGUACAUAAAUUACUAAAUUCUCAUUUGAUAGAACUUAUUUGUAUACAGCUAAUUCAAAAAAUGUUCUUUUUGUUUUUUAAAAUGACCAAUAACAAAGC